rnacentral:rRNA from 1 species
CCUACGGGAGGCAGCAGUGAGGAAUAUUGGUCAAUGGACGCAAGUCUGAACCAGCCACGCCGCGUGCAGGAAGACGGCUCUAUGAGUUGUAAACUGCUUUUGUACGAGGGUAAACGCAGAUACGCGUAUCUGUCUGAAAGUAUAGUACGAAUAAGGAUCGGCUAACUCCGUGCCAGCAGCCGCGGUAAUACGGAGGAGUCAAGCGUUAUCCGGAUUUAUUGGGUGUAAAGGGUGCGUAGGCGGUCGGAUAAGUUAGAGGUGAAAUCCCGAGGCUCAACUUCGGAAUUGCCUCUGAUACUGUUCGGCUGGAGAGUAGUUGCGGUAGGCGGAAUGUAUGGUGUAGCGGUGAAAUGCUUAGAGAUCAUAAAGAACACCGAUUGCGAAGGCAGCUUACCAAGCUACUUCUGACGUUGAGGCACGAAAGCGUGGGGAGCAAACAGGAUUAGAUACCCGAGUAGUC